UUGACUUGCCUUUAACCCUACUUAAUC
rnacentral:rRNA from 1 species